AAAAGUAGAUGAGGAAUAGCCCAGCGCUAAAUCUACUAAUCUUUUUGAUUAGUUAGAAAUGUAGCGUAUAGGUAUAACAAAAUUAUUUAGUCGAUUAUUUUAUGCACCCAAAGUCCCCUUGAGUGGGGCCAUGAUCCGUAGAAGGUGCGAGACCUGUACGGGUGAUGAAAUAAUCGAUGAGUUAUACUUUGGAGUCGAGUUGUUUGAGAUUGCAGCUCAAAGUGGGUGGUAGAUUUCAUCUAAGGCUAAAUAUUGCCACGAGACCGAUAGCAAACAAGUACCGUGAGGGAAAGUUGCAAAGAACUUUGAAGAGAGAGUUCAAGAGGACGUGAAACCGCUGAGAUUGAAGCGAAUAGAAUUGACGAAACUUAUUGGCAUUCAACCAAUCGGAUAAACAUUGCUAUAUUGUUGAAUAUAUUUUUUUAUUAUUUGAAAAAAUAUAUUCGUCGUGUACAUUAUGAUUUAAUGACAUCAAUAUAUGCAUAAAUUGUUUAUCAUUAUAUAUAAUUGUUUAAUUAUAUAUAUUAAGAUUGGUGCUUUUGCUAAUAGUAUGCAUUAAGAAUCUCGUUUAACGUAUGAAACGAUUCGAUUGUUUUCGUGGACCGUUUAUCUUUCUUUUUGAAAUAAACGAAAUCCAACAAUUGGAACGAUUUUUAUAUCGAGAUCAUAUCGUUAAUGAGAGAGAAAUGUUUAUAUACACACAUAUAUCUCAACUAUAGUUUCUUGAAACUAUAGUGUUUCACGAAUCUUCUUCAUAAACAAUAGCAUUUUGGAUAAAACGCUUGCGUUUUUAUCUAUGUGAAUUGUUUUUGUUGAGAUUUUUUUGUGAAACAUUUUUAUAAUAAUAAAAAAAAAUGAGAUAUAUUCUCGAUGUGAACGUCAAUCACCUAUUCGACCCGUCUUGAAACACGGACCAAGGAGUCUAGCACAUACGCAAGUCAAUAGAUAUAUAAAAUCUAUCGGCAUAAUGAAAGUAAAUUUUGUCAAUUUAUUUUUAUCGAUAAAUUGAACAAUUUGAUAUGUGAUCGAUUAUGUGGAGAAGAGUUUUUGUAAAAGGAAAUAAUUUACGCAUUAAUCGAGCAACAUAAACCCGUUCGUAUUGCAUGCAAUUGAUCGGAGUUAGAGCGUAUGCGCUGGUACCCGAAAGAUGGUGAACUAUGCCUGAGCAGGAUGAAGCCAGAGGAAACUCUGGUGGAAGUCCGAAGCGGUUCUGACGUGCAAAUCGAUCGUCCGACUCGGGUAUAGGGGCGAAAGACUAAUCGAACCAUCUAGUAGCUGGUUCCCUCUGAAGUUUCCCCCAGGAUAGCUGGAACUUAUUUUGAGCAGUUAUAUACGGUAAAGCGAAUGAUUAGAGGAAUUGGGGUCGAAACGACCUCAACCUAUUCUCAAACUUUCAAUGUGUAUGAUGUCUCGCUUGCUUAAAUCAAAUCAAAUUUGAAGCGUUGACAUUGAAUGUAAGUUCCAAGUGGGCCAUUUUUGGUAAGCAGAACUGGCGCUGUGGGAUGAACCAAACGUCGAGUUAAAGUGCCGAAUUUUACGCUCAUAAGAUCCCAUGAAAGGCGUUGGUUGAUAUAGACAGCAGGACGGUGGCCAUGGAAGUCGGAAACCGCUAAGGAGUGUGUAACAACUCACCUGCCGAAUCAACUAGCCCUGAAAAUGGAUGGCGCUUGAGCGAAAAACUUAUACUCGACCGUUGUUUAAGGUAUGUAUUGAAAAAUCCGACCACAACGAGUAAGAGGGUCGCAGUGGUUUGCGUUGAAGGUUUUGAGCGUAGGCUCAACUGGAGCUUCCACUGGUGCAGAUCUUGGUGGUAGUAGCAAAUAUUCAAGUGAGAUCCUUGAAGACUGAAGUGGAGAAGGGUUCCACGUGAACAGCAGUUGAAUGUGGGUCAGUCGAUCCUAAGAUAUCGGCUAAUGCCGUUUUGUGAAUUUAAAUGAGAGAGAAGAAGGAUGGAAAAAUUUUUUUUUAUCAUUCGUCUCGUCAUUAUCGAAAGGGAAACGGGUUCAUAUUCCCGUACCCGGACACGGAGAGUGGCGUUCACGUUUGUGAACGUCUAGCGCGGUAACGCAAACGAACUCGGAAACGCUGAAUAGAGCUCGAGCCAGAGUUCUCUUUUCUGGUUAAGAAAUCGACUCCCUGGAAACGGUUCAGCCGGCGAUAGGGACGUUAUUUUCGUAAAGCACCGCGGUUCGUGUGGUGUCUCGUGCGCUCUUAUUUGGCCCAUGAAAAUCCGAGGAAGGCUAUUUGAAUUUCGUGCCGGAUCGUACCGAUAUCCGCAGCAGGUCUCCAAGGUGAACAGCCUCUAGUCGAUAGAAUAAUGUAGGUAAGGGAAGUCGGCAAAUWAGAUCCGUAACUUCGGGAAAAGGAUUGGCUCUAAAAACUGAGUCGGACGGGCUGUUACGUGAAGUAUGCUAUAAUUGAAUCGAAGCAGUGCAAAACUAUUUAUAAUGUAGUGGUAUUUUUUUUUUCUUUAUUUUACGAAAUCAUUUUUAUGUGAUUU
rnacentral:rRNA from 1 species